UGCCUACGGGGCGCAGCAGUGGGGAAUAUUGCACAAUGGGGGAAACCCUGAUGCAGCAACGCCGCGUGAGUGAAGAAGUAUUUCGGUAUGUAAAGCUCUAUCAGCAGGGAAGAAAAUGACGGUACCUGAGUAAGAAGCCCCGGCUAACUACGUGCCAGCAGCCGCGGUAAUACGUAGGGGGCAAGCGUUAUCCGGAUUUACUGGGUGUAAAGGGAGCGUAGACGACAUAGCAAGUCUGAAGUGAAAGCCCGUGGCUCAACCGCGGAACUGCUUUGGAAACUGUUAAGCUGGAGUACAGGAGAGGG
rnacentral:rRNA from 1 species